rnacentral:lncRNA from 1 species
AGUCACUUCCCGCUAGUUCUGUGGGCUGAGGGGCGUGGCCUGAGGGGCGUGGCCUGAGGGGCGAGAGCCCCCAAGGCUGUGGGUAUGAGGCCGGGGCCCUGCACCGGAAGGGAGGGCGGAAGCCACGGGACGUGGAGCAGAUGGUGAGGAUAGUGGGGAAGGUAGCCGCAGAGGAUGACCCGAGGCAAAAGUGCAAGUGAGGAAAAGUCGCCUUGCCGGGCAGAGGUACCGGACCAAGGCGCCUCCUCUGGGCUGAGGAGUUAGAGGGAAGAAAAUGGCGCCCUGUCAUGAGGGCGCGAGGUCCGAGUUGAGGGGAGAAGACUGAGGGGCACAGAAGUGGCCGAAGUGAGGGCGCUGAGGUCAGCCUGAGCUGAGAGGGCCGGCAGAUCACGCCGCAGCCGAAGUGAACGAACUCGAGUGAGGAAAUUACUCCAGGAUUUGAAUCAUCACAAGAGAUUCACCAGAGGAUUUUAUACACUUGGGCUGUGGCAGCAGACUAAUUACACCACAGCACUAGAGCUGAGAUACUGGCUGGGUGGAUUUCAGCAAAUUUCCAAGGUCACAUGACAUGUGGGCACAAAAGCCAGGAUUUCACACCAGGGGAUAAAGUAUAUCAGAAAUGAAGGCUGGGGCAGAUGCUGUCUGGGCUGGAUGACUAUCCUCCUCUCUGAAUAAAGUUGCUUGGGCCUGGUUGGUGAUUCUAGGAGAAGAAACCUACAAACAGUGUUCUGAUCAUAGGUCCUGCUGCCACCAGCCUCAAGAAAGACACCACUAACCUGACAGUAAAGGAAUAAUCUAAGCUGACCUACGAUGACAAAGAAGCUGGGAGAAGAGGCAUCUGCCAAGUAAAGAUUCCAACCAACCUUUGGAAGAUGGCAUGCUAACAGAGAAGUACCAAGGUCACCAGUGGUUAUGACCCAAAGUGCCCACGGAGGAGACACCAAGGCCAAUUUGUCCUGAAACAUCCCCGAGAGGUCCAAGUCUUGGAGGGAACAGGGUGGGGCUGGAAGUCUGAACAUGGAGGAGUUGUCUCCCAAGCCUUCUCCCUAUCCCAUGCAGCCAGAUGACUAAACCCACAGGUGUAAAAACAGCAUUUUCUUCCUGGAGGAAUUGAACUCAAAAGGCCCCAGACUUGUUCAGACCAGGCACAGCAGAGAACAAGACUGCAAACGGGGAUUAGGGAUACGCAUUCUGAAUGGCAGGAUUCCAGACCUUUUUCCUUCGCCUGCUCCCAGAAUGCCAACAGCCCGGGGUGUCUCCUCCAUGCCCUACCCCAAGCAAGAGAUUGGAGGACUUUUCUUUCUUUCUUUCUUUUUUCUUUUUGAGACAGAGUUUCACUCUUGUUGCCCAGGCUGGAGUGCAAUGGCGCGAUCUCGGCUCACUGCAAUCUUCGCCUCCUGGGUUCAAGCGAUUCUCCUGCUUCAGCCUCCUGAGUGGCUGGGAUUACAGGCAUGCACCACCACACCCAACUAAUUUUGUAUUUUUAGAAGAGACGGGGUUUCUCCAUGUUGGUCAGGGCGGUCUCGAACUCCCAAUCUCAGGUAAUCUGCCCACCUUGGUCUCCCAAAGUGCUGGGAUUACAGGCAUGAGCCACUGUGACCAGCCUGAGAUUGGAGGACUUUUCUUUUUAAGCUGCUAAGUCUCAAAGAAUAUGCUUUCUGCUGAUGGUAUGAUGAGAGCUCUGCACACACUUCAAUCACCUUUCAAUGAAACCCAACUGUGAGAAUCGAGCUUCCAACCACCUUUUUAAAGUUCCUUUCACGUUAGUGUUUUUUAAGAGACAACUAGAAUUUCUUUUUUCCU